UAUGUAAAAAAAAAAGAGCCCCUCCAACUAGUCCAGAUGGGGCCUCACAUUGUUAUAAAGUUAGCCUGCGAGUCUGUCACACCAGAGCCAAGUAGAGUGGCCUCUGGUACCAGUAGGCUCCUUGGUCCUUGCUCCCGUUUUAAGUGCUAUAUUCACCGUGCUUCUAAUUUUGUUUUUUGCUCUUAUUUACUCAGUUUUCUUACCCAAUAUGUCUCCCACAGAAUGAAGGCCUUUAAUAUUACAUGUUAAUUGCCUCUAGACCUAAAGCCCAAGUAUACCAAAAAACGACCCCAUCAUAGAGAAGCACCUCCAAGAAAAUCAGAAAAUGAAACAAGAACGACUCCAUCUUAAAGAAGCACCUCCAUUGUAAACUCCUACAUUCCUGUGACUAGAAACUUCACUCUGUGACUAAGUGUAAACAGUAAUUACAUUCCUAUUGUCUUCAUGUUACUUAGUGAUAUGGUCAUCAGCCAGACCCCUUGCCUUGAGCUAUAAAAACCAUAAACAGGUCACAGAAGGAUUGAUCUCUGAUGUCCAGCAGCUUGCAUCCACUAUCUCCCUCAUCCAGGAUUAGCUAGAUUCCCUCACAGAGGUGUUUCUACAAAAUCGCAGCGGUUUGGACCUCUUACUUGCAGACCAGGGAGAUCUUUGUCUUACUUUGCAGGAAUGGUGCUGCUUUUAUGCCAACAAGUCUGGCAUUGUCCGCGAUAAGAUCCAUGACCUCCAAGAAGCCCUAAGGAACCACAGACGACAACUGGCUGACAACUCCCUUCUAACUGUUUGGAAUGGGAUCCUACCUUUUAUACUCCCCCUUCUCGGACCAAUUGUUGGCCUGUUGGUUGUCUGUUCGCUAGGCCCAGACAUCUUUAACAAAUUGAAGUCGUUCAUCAGCCAACAGAUAACAUCCCUCCUUUCUCGACCUAUCCAGGUCUAUUACACCAGACU